rnacentral:rRNA from 1 species
AGAGGGAACAGCCCAGACCACCAGCUAAGGCCCCUAAAUCGUGGCUAAGUGGGAAAGGAUGUGGGGAUUCCAAAACAACCAGGAGGUUGGCUUAGAAGCAGCCAUCCUUUAAAGAAAGCGUAAUAGCUCACUGGUCUAAUAGAAACCCUGCGCCGAAAAUGUAACGGGGCUCAAGCCACGUGCCGAAGCUGUGGGUGCAUAUCUAUGAUAUGCGCGGUAGCGGAGCGUUCCGUAAGUCUGUGAAGGAGACGGGGUGACCCUCUCUGGAGAUAUCGGAAGUGCGAAUGCUGACAUGAGUAGCGACAAACAGUGCGAGAAACACUGUCGCCGAAAGUCCAAGGGUUCCUGCGCAAGGUUAAUCCACGCAGGGUUAGUCGGCCCCUAAGGCGAGGGCGAAAGCCGUAGUCGAUGGGAAUCAGGUGAAUAGUCCUGAACCUGCCAGAAGUGACGAAUGCAAGAUGUUGUCAGUCCUUAUCGGAUUGGACUGGCUUUUUGCGCAUUCCAGGAAAUAGCUCUGGCGUAUAGACCGUACCCGAAACCGACACAGGUGGACUGGUAGAGAAUACCAAGGCGCUUGAGAGAACGAUGCUGAAGGAACUAGGCAAAUUACUCGUGUAACUUCGGGAUAAGCGAGACCCGUUGGUGGGCAACCAUUGGCGGGUGGCACAGACCAGGGGGUAGCGACUGUUUAGUAAAAACACAGGGCUCUGCGAAGUCGAAAGACGACGUAUAGGGCCUGACGCCUGCCCGGUGCCGGAAGGUUAAGAGGAGGUGUGAGAGCACUGAAUUGAAGCCCCGGUAAACGGCGGCCGUAACUAUAACGGUCCUAAGGUAGCGAAAUUCCUUGUCGGGUAAGUUCCGACCUGCACGAAUGGCGUAACGACUUCCCCGCUGUCUCCAGCAUCGGCUCAGCGAAAUUGAAUUCCCCGUGAAGAUGCGGGGUAUCCGCGGUCAGACGGAAAGACCCUAUGAACCUUUACUGCAGCUUUACAGUGGCAUCAGAGACAUUCUGUGUAGGAUAGGUGGGAGGCUUUGAAGCGGGGGCGCCAGUUCCCGUGGAGCCAUCCUUGAAAUACCACCCUGAAUUUUUCUGAUGUCUAACCGCGGUCAGUUAGCCUGAUCCGGGACCCUGUAUGGUGGGCAGUUUGACUGGGGCGGUCGCCUCCCAAAGUGUAACGGAGGCGCGCGAUGGUGGGCUCAGGCCGGUCGGAAACCGGCUGUUGAGUGCAAUGGCAUAAGCCCGCCUGACUGCGAGAGUGACAGCUCGAGCAGAGACGAAAGUCGGCCAUAGUGAUCCGGUGGUCCCGCGUGGAAGGGCCAUCGCUCAACGGAUAAAAGGUACUCUAGGGAUAACAGGCUGAUCUCCCCCAAGAGUCCACAUCGACGGGGAGGUUUGGGCACCUCGAUCGUCGGCUCAUCACAUCCUGGGGCUGGAGCAGGUCCCAAGGGUUCGGCUGUUCGCCGAUUAAAGUGGUACGUGAGCUGGGUUUAGAACGUCGUGAGACAGUUCGGUCCCUAUCUGCCGUGGAUGUUGGAGACUUGAGAGGAUUUGUCCCUAGUACGAGAGGACCGGGAUGAACACACCUCUGGUGCACCGGUUGUCGCGCCAGCGGCACCGCCGGGUAGCUAAGUGUGGACGGGAUAACCGCUGAAAGCAUCUAAGCGGGAAACCCACCUCAAAACUAGGUCUCCCCAAGGGCCGUGAUAGACCAUCACGUCAAUAGGCCAGGUGUGAAAGCGCAGUAAUGCGUGCAGCUAACUGGUCCUAAUCGCCCAAUAGGCUCACUC